UGAAUACGAGACGCUAAGGCGUCGAAGUAGUGUAUGUCAGACUUCCAAGAAAAGCUCGCACUGUCAUAGGUAAAAAAUGCCUGUACCAUAACCGACACAGGCGGGUAGGUAGAGUAUACUAAGGGGCGCGAGAUAACUCUCUCUAAGGAACUCGGCAAAAUGACUCCGUAACUUCGGGAGAAGGGGUGCCUUAUUUAUAAGGUUGCAAUAACAAGAUCCAAGCAACUGUUUACCAAAAACACAGGUCUCCGCUAAGUCGUAAGACGAUGUAUGGGGGCUGACGCCUGCCCAGUGCCAGAAGGUUAAAGAAGUUGGUUAGCAUUCGCGAAGCUGAUAACUGAAGCCCUGGUGAACGGCGGCCGUAACUAUAACGGUCCUAAGGUAGCGAAAUUCCUUGUCGGGUAAGUUCCGACCCGCACGAAAGGCGUAAUGAUUUGGAUACUGUCUCGGAGAGAGGCUCGGUGAAAUAGACUUGUCUGUGAAGAUGCGGACUACCUGCACCUGGACAGAAAGACCCUAUGAAGCUUUACUGUAACUUGAAAUUGAAAUUGGACUUUAGUCGCGCAGCAUAGGUGGGAGGCGUUGAGAAUAUUCUUGCGGGAAUAUAGGAGCCAUCAGUGAGAUACCACUCUUCUAAUGUUAGAUUUCUAACCUUGAACCAUUAUCUGGUCAAGGAACAGUUUCAGGCGGGCAGUUUGACUGGGGCGGUCGCCUCCCAAAUGGUAACGGAGGCGUACAAAGGUUUCCUCUGAACGGAUAGAAAUCGUAUCUAGAGUAUAAAGGCAUAAGGAAGCUUGACUGUGAGACUUACAAGUCGAGCAGGGACGAAAGUCGGUCUUAGUGAUCUGACGGUACUGAGUGGAAAGGCCGUCACUCAACGGAUAAAAGUUACUCUAGGAUAACAGGCUGAUCUCCCCCAAGAGUUCACAUCGACGGGGAGGUUUGGCACCUCGAUGUCGGCUCAUCGCAUCCUGGGGCGGUAGUACGUCCCAAGGGUUGGGCUGUUCGCCCAUGAAAGCGGUACGCGAGCUGGGUUCAGAACGUCGUGAGACAGUUCGGUCCAUAUCCGGUGUAGGCGUUAGAAUAUUGAGAGGAGCCUUCUUUAGUACGAGAGGACCGAGAAGGACAUACCUCUGGUGUACCAGUUAUCGUGCCAACGGUAAACGCUGGGUAGCUAUGUAUGGAGUGGAUAACCGCUGAAAGCAUCUAAGUGGGAAGCCCACCUCAAGAUGAGUAUUCUCA
rnacentral:rRNA from 1 species